rnacentral:rRNA from 1 species
UACGUAGGGUGCAAGCGUUGUCCGGAAUUAUUGGGCGUAAAGAGCUCGUAGGCGGUCUGUCGCGUCGGCUGUGAAAACUCGGGGCUCAACCCCGAGCCUGGCAGUCGAUACGGGCAGACUAGAGUGCUGUAGGGGAGACUGAAUCCUGGUGUAGCGGUGAAAUGCGCAGAUAUCAGGAGGAACACCGGUGGCGAAGGCGGGUCUGCUGGGCAGUGAACUG